rnacentral:rRNA from 1 species
UACGAAGGGGGCUAGCGUUGCUCGGAAUCACUGGGCGUAAAGGGUGCGUAGGCGGAUCUGCAAGUCGGGGGUGAAAUCCCGAGGCUCAACCUCGGAACUGCCUUCGAUACUGCGGGUCUCGAGUCCGGGAGAGGUGAGUGGAAUUCCUGGUGUAGCGGUGAAAUGCGCAGAUAUCAGGAGGAACACCAAUUGCGAAGGCAGCUCGCUGGGACGUUACUGACGCUGAGACGCGAAAGCGUGGGGAGCAAACAGG